rnacentral:lncRNA from 10 species
AAGUCAUUUUGGAAAUCAACCAAAGCUCCAGAUUUGUUAGGGACAUUUGCUAAAGUGCUUACAGGUAGAGCAGAUAGUGCUGAUCUGAUGCCUGUUCCAGAAACAUCUGUGCCUGACCUUCAAGCUUGUAUUUAUAAAACAGAACUGAACUAGCUGGUAGCAUUUACUCUGGAAUGAAGGAUGGAACUGAUGGGAUUUUCCAAAAGGAGCAGAAAGUCAGUAGGAGAAAAGUUGGAGCUGUACAUCCUCAAUGAGUUGCUACUUCUGUUAUACACAGAAAAUUAAAAGUUGAAUGAAACCCGCAACUAAGAAAUACCAAGUUCAACUAAAUUAAUAAAAUGUGUGCUGUGGGCUGAAGAUGUAUAUUCUGGCAUUCCUCCUUUCCUCGAAUGUCCUGCCAAGGCAUUUCUGCCUGAAUACACUGAGACCAAGGAUGGCAUAUUAGAAAAAAAUUUCUUUUCCAAGCUAGAUGAAUCACUGCUUCUUCUCUGAAUUUCAGCUCUCCGUGACUAUGGUGGAGAAGCUGUUGACAAAGUGUUGUAUGCAGGGGCCACCUUUGACUCUCUUAUCCUUUUCUUUAUCUCCACCUUAUACUCAUCUAUAGUUCUAUGAACUCUAUCUUCCUCUCCCUAUUGUUGGAAAUUCUGAUUCUGAAUACUAAACCAGAAUUAGACGUGGAAGUCUGGUAAAGAUUAUUACCUUUAUUAUUGCUAAAACUGGGUUGGAAAAUGAAGCCUGAAUUGAUGGUCAAAAUGAGGCUUCCCACUGCUUUACCCAGGUUUGAAUCUCAGGAUUCAUCUGGGGAAACCAUGGUACAGCCUACACUAUGUAGCAGACAGCACAGGGAACAGAAACUCAACUUACACACCUGAGGAGAAAUCCUGAAAACAGGGAUCUCUAAGUAGACAUGGGCCUGCUGACUUGCCUCUGAAAGGCAGUCCCUGGACUCUGACACG